rnacentral:rRNA from 1 species
GACAGAGGGUGCAACCGUUGCUCGGAAUUACUGGGCGUAAAGCGCGUGUAGGCGGGCUGAUAAGUCGGACGUGAAAGCCCUGGGCUCAACCCAGGAACUGCAUCCGAAACUGUCAGUCUGGAGUGGUGGAGAGGGAAGCAGAAUUCCUGGUGUAGAGGUGAAAUUCGUAGAUAUCAGGAGGAACACCGGUGGCGAAGGCGGCUUCCUGGACACUAACUGACGCUGAGACGCGAAAGCGUGGGGAGCAAACAGG